GAGGAGGGAGAUAUUUGAAACCUUUGGCAGAGAGAGAGGAGAGACGUAUCAGAUUUUUGCAGAGAGAAGUAAGCAGCAAGUUUUAGGGAACAACAGCAGGUUUGUCGUCAGGCAAGGCUUCAAUCAUGAGAGAGAUAUGCCGGAUCUCUUGCAAUCAAACAUGGGGAACAACAAAACCACCUUGAAAAGGUCUGGAAACACAACAGGCAAGAGCAUGAACGAGGGGAGAGAGCAAUUGGUUAUCAAAUAAAGAGAGAAAAUUAUAUUCUCGUGGGGAAACUUGGAGGAUGAAAGAUUGCAAUGAAAGUUCUAACAUUCGGUGGAAUUACAGCCGAGCUACCUAGGGACGAAAGAUGGACUGAAACUUCAAAAAUGUGCAUCAACAGGGGAGUGCACUUCUACUUGC